UAACAGCCGCCGCCGCCGCCGCCGCCGCCGCCGCCGGGAGCCCGGGCCGCGAGCGAGAGCCGCGGGGCUGACAGCCGGCCCCGCCGCCGGACGGCUCGGCGCCACCAGGUGAACGGACAUGGCGGGCUGGAUCCAAGCCCAGCAGCUGCAGGGAGAUGCGCUGCGCCAGAUGCAGGUGCUGUACGGGCAGCACUUCCCCAUCGAGGUUCGGCACUACUUAGCGCAUUGGAUCGAGAGCCAGCCGUGGGAUGCCAUCGACCUGGACAAUCCCCAGGACCGAGCCCAGGCCACCCAGCUCCUGGAGGGCCUGGUGCAGGAGCUGCAGAAGAAGGCGGAGCACCAAGUGGGGGAAGAUGGGUUCUUACUGAAGAUCAAACUGGGGCACUAUGCCACGCAGCUCCAGAACACGUAUGACCGCUGCCCCAUGGAGCUGGUCCGCUGCAUCCGGCAUAUUCUGUACAACGAACAGAGGCUGGUUCGAGAAGCCAACAAUGGUAGUUCUCCAGCUGGGAUCCUGGUGGACGCCAUGUCCCAGAAACACCUCCAGAUCAACCAGACGUUUGAGGAGCUGCGACUGGUCACACAGGACACAGAGAAUGAGCUGAAGAAGCUGCAGCAGACUCAAGAGUACUUCAUCAUCCAGUAUCAGGAGAGCCUGAGGAUCCAGGCUCAGUUUGCCCAGCUGGCCCAGCUGAAUCCGCAGGAGCGCCUGAGCCGGGAGACGGCCCUCCAGCAGAAGCAGGUGUCCCUGGAGGCCUGGCUGCAGCGGGAGGCCCAGACGCUGCAGCAGUACCGUGUGGAGCUGGCCGAGAAGCACCAGAAGACCUUGCAGCUGCUGCGGAAGCAGCAGACCAUCAUUCUGGAUGAUGAACUGAUCCAGUGGAAGCGGCGGCAGCAGCUGGCGGGGAACGGAGGGCCCCCCGAGGGCAGCCUGGAUGUGCUGCAGUCCUGGUGCGAGAAGUUGGCCGAGAUCAUCUGGCAGAACCGGCAGCAGAUCCGCAGAGCUGAGCACCUCUGCCAGCAGCUGCCCAUCCCUGGCCCAGUGGAGGAGAUGCUAGCUGAGGUCAAUGCCACCAUCACAGACAUCAUCUCAGCCCUGGUGACCAGCACAUUCAUCAUCGAGAAGCAGCCCCCUCAGGUCCUGAAGACCCAGACCAAGUUUGCAGCGACGGUGCGCCUGCUGGUGGGCGGGAAGCUGAACGUGCACAUGAACCCCCCCCAGGUGAAGGCCACCAUCAUCAGUGAGCAGCAGGCCAAGUCACUGCUCAAGAAUGAGAAUACCCGCAACGACUACAGUGGAGAGAUCCUGAACAACUGCUGUGUGAUGGAAUACCACCAAGCCACCGGCACCCUGAGUGCGCACUUCAGGAACAUGUCACUAAAGAGAAUUAAGCGUGCUGACCGGAGGGGCGCAGAGUCUGUGACGGAGGAGAAGUUCACAGUCCUGUUUGAGUCUCAGUUCAGUGUCGGCAGCAAUGAGCUUGUGUUCCAAGUAAAGACUCUGUCCCUUCCCGUGGUUGUCAUCGUUCAUGGCAGCCAGGACCACAACGCUACCGCCACUGUGCUGUGGGACAACGCCUUCGCCGAGCCGGGCAGGGUGCCAUUUGCCGUGCCCGACAAAGUGCUGUGGCCACAGCUGUGUGAGGCGCUCAACAUGAAAUUCAAGGCCGAAGUGCAGAGCAACCGGGGCCUGACCAAGGAGAACCUCGUGUUCCUGGCACAGAAACUGUUCAACAGCAGCAGCAGCCACCUUGAAGACUAUAAUGGCAUGUCCGUGUCCUGGUCCCAGUUCAACAGGGAGAACUUGCCGGGUUGGAACUACACCUUCUGGCAGUGGUUCGAUGGGGUCAUGGAGGUGCUGAAGAAGCAUCACAAGCCUCAUUGGAAUGACGGGGCCAUCCUAGGUUUUGUGAAUAAGCAACAGGCCCAUGACCUGCUCAUCAACAAACCCGAUGGAACCUUUUUAUUGCGCUUUAGCGACUCUGAAAUCGGGGGCAUCACCAUUGCCUGGAAGUUUGACUCUCCUGACCGCAACCUUUGGAACCUGAAGCCGUUCACCACGCGGGACUUCUCCAUCCGGUCCCUGGCUGACCGGCUGGGGGACCUGAGCUAUCUCAUCUAUGUAUUUCCCGACCGACCCAAGGAUGAGGUCUUCUCCAAGUAUUACACCCCUGUGCUCGCUAAAGCGGUGGACGGAUACGUGAAGCCACAGAUCAAGCAAGUGGUCCCUGAGUUUGUGAAUGCGUCUGCAGACUCUGCCGGGGCCAGCGCCACCUACAUGGACCAGGCCCCCUCCCCAGCCGUGUGCCCCCAGGCUCAUUAUAACAUGUACCCACAGAACCCUGACCCCGUCCUUGACCAGGAUGGAGAAUUUGACCUGGAUGAGACCAUGGAUGUAGCCAGGCAUGUGGAGGAACUCUUACGCCGCCCGAUGGACGGUCUGGACCCCCGCCUCUCCCCGCCUGCUGGUCUUUUCACCUCUGCCCGAGGCUCGCUCUCGUGAAUGCUUGAAUCCCCCACUUCUCUUUGGGAACAACGCUCAGUGUGAGGGGUUCAUAUGAAUUGUGAUGUUAACAUUGCUGUGCAUACUGAUGCCUCUGCUGGCAGCACAUGUGCAGGUGUGUGUGUGCACGGGCGCACGAGGUGGGCCUGCCUUGCCUUUGCCCUCUGGGUACGUGGUUGCGGCGGCACCACCACCUUUCUCUUCAGAUCAAGGCAUCCCAACAGCCCGCCGGGCCCAUCUCUGUUGUGGAAGGGGGCUCAGCUUCCUCUGCUCAAUGCAGGCAAACCUAUUCCGCCGCCGGGGCCUUUACUGCCUAGCAGCUGUUUGAAUGAAAUUAGUCAAGAAGGGGCACGGAGACAGGUAACUGCCUCUAAGCUUAAGUUUUGCUCCUGAGUUAGAAGCUUUGCCUCCCAAAUGCGCGCAUACGCUUUUACGUACGUGCAUCUGUUCUCAUGCACGUGUGUUGGUCUAUUGCUUCUUUCGCUCGGGAGGCUGGGGUUCAAUUUUGUGUAAUAUUUUAUACUUCACAUAAUGAAUAUGGACUCGAGACUUUUUGUGAAUGGAGAGCUUAUCUAGACCACGGCCCUCACACAGCGCAGAUGGGUCAUUUGAGCCUGGGUCUGUCAGAGCUGCUCUGAGUAUGUAGCUUCUUAGCCUCCUGGCGUCCAGCCAGGGGACUUGGGCGUCCCAUCUGUGGUGCUGUUGCCCGGUUCUGCUAUCUCUUUUCAACCGCUAUCCCCUCCCAUGCACCCGGCCCCAACCUUCUUUCCCCGACUGUCUGCAACCUUCGUUGCGGGAGAGGUGGGAGAGGGGCAGGGACUGGUCUAGGCCAUGGCGGGCAAACAGGGGGCCAGGGACUUUGCAGGGUGGAUCCCCUCCCCUCCUGGAAAAAGCUGCAGCAAGAGACAGCCGCAGACCAGCCGCACGCUGCCUGCCUGUGGAGCCUGGAGUGAGGGGUAAAAGCUGAUCUCGUUCCCCCUCUGCCUGGAACACAGUUGCAGAACGUUGAGGUCUGAGAAGGCCUUGCUCCCAACCUCACGAGCUCCUCCCUCUGGGGCAGCAGGUGGCGGAAGGUCGAGUCUCAGGUUUAAACAUCUCUGAAGGAAGGUGGGGACGAGAAGAGGGAUUCUUGUGUACUUUGUACAUAGGCCACCAGUGUUUUUGAGUAAAGUAUUUUUUUCAUAAAUUUGCUGGUGUGGCUCUUAGUUGGGCAGCCUUGGGUAGUGUGGGGGGCGGUCACUGGAGCCAGUUAUUUUCUUCCCUCCCGCGUGGCUGAUGCCGUACCCUGUACUCUGCUCCCUUUCCUGUGUGUCAAGGGUGCCCACCACCCCUGGAACGCCGUCUGUGCUUCUCAGGAGACAAAACUAGGGUUUGAGGCCUGGGGAAAGGUGGGGCAGGAAUUCUGGGGUGGAGGCAAAAACCGUGCUUGGGGCUCGCCUUAUCAGCUGCUGCUAUAAGCAAUCCUGAAGUCUUUGGCCCAGGGCCAGGCCAGUGCCAGGGGCAGCAGAGAACCUCACCGUGUUCCCUUCUCCCCGGGCCUCUUCCCGAACACCAGCAGGUGGCACCAUCCCGUUGCCACCAGCGUUUUUCAACCGGCCAACCGGCGACCGACCGGGAGGGAAGGAAGUUGGGCCAGGAGGAUGGUCUCCCCAUUUGGACCCCCUGGCACGCUGCCGGUCCAGGGGAGGUCACUGAGGCCCUUGGGGGAGCGGGCUGGGGAGCCAGAACCUGCCGGCAGGACGACAGGGAUGGCCGAGCGCAACCUGUUUGUCUUGGAGAGAAGGUCCUCAUCCCCUUAAUUCUGAAACUGGAUUCCUAAAGCAAACAGGACAAGGGGGCCUUCAGAUACUGGAAGGAGCCAUACACAAGGGGGGUCAGGUGGAGAAGGAGGAAGGAAGGAUCAUCCCAUCCCUUAUAAGGCACCCACAGGAACAACCCGGGCUCUGGAACAGGAGCACAAGUCCAGGCAGACGGGGGACAGGUUGUAAGCACUCCUCUGCGCAGCCUUACCUACUAACAGGCCGACACAUUAAAGGGGAAAAUAAAAACUUCGUUUAUUAAAAAAAGUCUAGAAUGUUUCGGUUGUCCUUCAACCUUCCUAUGUCAAAACCAAAGGCCAAGCCACAGCUUCAGAUGUCUUUUAAAGAGCUGGAUCUGAAGCCCAUUUCCGGAUUUCUAUAAAUUAUCAGCCUGAAGAAAGCUGAAUGCCUAAAGCACCAAGAAGGCUACUGACUGAGUUUUCUUAAAUACAGAAAAGGCUAUGCCGAUACAGUGUUUUUUUUUGCCCUUGAAAAAAAAAUUUUUUUUUUUUUUUAAUUUAAAAAGAAAUCUCGGGGCUGUGAAAGUCCUAUCUUCUAUUUGGAUGUUAGCAAGGUUAAAAGUGCAAUGUCAGCAGUAGCACAGCUACAGGCAGCCUGUGGCGGCCGCUCGCAGGAGCAGGCGGAGGGCUGUGCGGGCACCGGGAGGCACUUGUCUAACAACGCAAGCUGCUGAGAAAGGAGGGCGGGGGAGCAAGAAAAGACAAGAACGUUUCCUUUCUCCCCCUCUUGCCACCCCUUCCGCAUCCCCUGAUGGCGGUCUCAGAGAACACGUUUCUUAUUUGCAUUUAGGUCAAAGCGUAUCACUCACAUUCAUUCAUUUCUCUAUUGUGAAAAGUGCCCAGGUCGCUCAAAGGUAGCAGGAGUAGGAGAUUUAAAAAAACAAAAACAAAAA